rnacentral:rRNA from 1 species
GCAGUCGACGGCAGCAUGCUCUAGCUUGCUAGAGUGAUGGCGAGUGGCGAACGGGUGAGUAACGCGUAGGGAUCUACCUUAGAGAGGGGGACAACCCGGGGAAACUCGGGCUAAUACCGCGUAUUCUGGAGACAGAAAAGUUGGGGACCAUUUAUGGCCUAGCGCUCUAAGAUGAACCUGCGUCCGAUUAGCUAGUUGGUGGGGUAAAGGCCUACCAAGGCGACGAUCGGUAGCUGUUCUGAGAGGAAGAUCAGCCACACUGGGACUGAGACACGGCCCAGACUCCUACGGGAGGCAGCAGUGGGGAAUAUUGGACAAUGGGGGCAACCCUGAUCCAGCAAUGCCGCGUGUGUGAAGAAGGCCUGAGGGUUGUAAAGCACUUUCAGUGGGGAGGAAGGCUCUUUUACGAAUAGUAAAAGGGAUUGACGUUACCCACAGAAGAAGCACCGGCUAACUCUGUGCCAGCAGCCGCGGUAAUACAGAGGGUGCAAGCGUUAAUCGGAAUUACUGGGCGUAAAGCGUACGUAGGUGGACAACUAAGUCGGCAGUGAAAGCCCCGGGCCUAACCUGGGAAAGCCUGCCGAGACUGGUAGUCUAGAGUACAGUAGAGGGAAGUGGAAUUUCCGGUGUAGCGGUGAAAUGCGUAGAGAUCGGAAGGAACACCAGUGGCGAAGGCGACUU